GUGCACCAGGCGCGAAAACUUCACACUGCGCGAAAGCGCGAUGAGGGAAUCCCAAGUGCUUGCACGUAAGUGUAAGCUGUUUCUCUGUCUAAAAAGCAGAGAGAGUAAGGGCUGGGUAAGACGGGUGCCAGCCGCCGCGGUAAUACCUGCAGCUCAAGUGGUGGCCGCUAUUAUUGGGCCUAAAACGUCCGUAGCCGGUCUAGUAAAUGCCUGGGUAAAUCGUGAGGCUUAACCUUACGAAUUCCGGGUAGACUGCUAGACUUGAGACCGGGAGAGGCUAGAGGUACUCCUGGGGUAGAGGUGAAAUUCUGUAGUCCUAGGGGACCACCAGUGGCGAAGGCGUCUAGCUAGAACGGGUCUGACGGUGAGGGACGAAGCCCUGGGGCGCAAACCGGAUUAGAUACCCCUGUAGU
rnacentral:rRNA from 1 species